GACGAACGCUGGCGGCGUGCUUAACACAUGCAAGUCGAGCGGUAAGGCCCUUUCGGGGGUACACGAGCGGCGAACGGGUGAGUAACACGUGGGUGACCUGCCCUCAGCUCUGGGAUAAGCCUGGGAAACUGGGUCUAAUACUGGAUAUGACUCCACGGUGCAUGUCGUGGGGUGGAAAGCCUUGUGCGGCUGAGGAUGGGCCCGCGGCCUAUCAGCUUGUUGGUGGGGUGANGGCCUACCAAGGCGACGACGGGUAGCCGGCCUGAGAGGGCGACCGGCCACACUGGGACUGAGACACGGCCCAGACUCCUACGGGAGGCAGCAGUGGGGAAUCUUGCGCAAUGGGCGAAAGCCUGACGCAGCGACGCCGCGUGAGGGAUGACGGCCUCGGUUGUAA
rnacentral:rRNA from 1 species